rnacentral:rRNA from 1 species
UACAGAGGGUGCGAGCGUUAAUCGGAAUUACUGGGCGUAAAGCGUGCGUAGACGGUUAUUUAAGUCGGGUGUGAAAGCCCCGGGCUCAACCUGGGAAUUGCAUUCGAGACUGAAUAGCUAGGGUACGGUAGAGGGAAGUGGAAUUUCCGGUGUAGCGGUGAAAUGCGUUGAUAUCGGAAGGAACGCCGGUGGCGAAAGCGACACACUGGAUCUCUUCUGACGCUGAGGCGCGAAAGCCAGGGGAGCAAACGGG